rnacentral:rRNA from 1 species
CAGUAGCCGCGGGAAUACGUAGGGGGCAAGCGUUAUCCGGAUUUACUGGGUGUAAAGGGAGCGCAGACGGCCAAGCAAGUCUGAAGUGAAAUGCAUGGGCUCAACCCAUGAAUUGCUUUGGAAACUGUUUGGCUUGAGUGUCGGAGGGGUAAGCGGAAUUCCUAGUGUAGCGGUGAAAUGCGUAGAUAUUAGGAGGAACACCGGAGGCGAAGGCGGCUUACUGGACGACAACUGACGUUGAGGUUCGAAGGCGUGGGGAGCAAACAGGAUUAGAUACCCCAGUAGUCCCUGUCUCUUAUAC